UGCCUUGCUACAAGUGCAGCAGCAUUCUUCUCGACACUUCCAGUUCAUCCAGAUCAUCGCGACACCAGUUCACCCACUCUCGACUUCUCUCUCAAGAAUCGCACUGCAACACCAGUCAACAUUUCAGAGCCUGCGUCUUGAACUCUCUCUCUCUCUCACGGAACCACGGCCACCACCAUCUUUCGGCUCGAAUUUUGUGGGUUGUGAAGAGCAGCAGCGACAUGAAAAUAUGUGAGUGCUGUGUGGAAACAGCAAUGCAAGUGCGGGAUCUGAUCAGUCACACUCGAACAGGGGUUUGUUUCUCGAACCGCAUUCAUUAGUUAGAUUAUUAACGUGCUUUGGUAGGGGUUUUCAAUAUGAUUUUCUAAUUUCUCUUUUUCUCUUUCUGGUUUUUGAAGUAUCUGUGAUUUAUGUUUGAUUAUAAAAGAAAAAUUAAUAAAACAAAGAGAUGCGGCAAUUGGAAACAUGGCUGCAAGUGAUAAGUCAGAGUCUUUGUUUUACAUCACUGUACUACUGUUGUAGUGCAUGCAUGCGUAAGCAAAAUUGAAAUUGUAAUACAGGAUCUUAGGGCUGUGCAAAAUGGUGUACCAAAAUACGCAGGAGUCGGAAUUGUGAAACCAAGUCAAAUCUCACUUAGAAGUGUAAGUACUAGGAGGUCAUCCUUGAGCAACCUGGCACAAGGAAUUUAACCGACAUGGUUGGAUUUCUGAACUUCAUUAUAUUUCCAUGUAUUUUUCUUAAAUAGAAUGCAUCUAUCUGGGGAUCGAAACAUAUCCUUUUUUGAAUUUUCAAGGCAUGAAAACUCAAGCUUGGGCGGUACCCCCAUUUCAAGGUAAAUGAGACCACUCGACUAUGGUAACCCAAUGGCUUUCUUUGUAGCUUUUCCUUAGAGUUAUCGGUUCCUUGCUUUUUAUUGAGCUUUUGGCUAUGUGUAUUUUGUAUUUCUGAGCUUCAAGGCACAGUUGCCCAGUACAUAAAAUUGUUUUCGUAAUUUAAUAUUCAGCACCGCUUGCCAAUUUAUUGGAUGAAAAUUUUGAA